GCCUGGGUGGCUCAGUGGUCAAAGCGUCUGCCUUCAGCUCAGGGCAUGAUCCUGAAGUCUUGGGAUCAAGUCCCACUCAGGCU
rnacentral:tRNA from 1 species